rnacentral:rRNA from 1 species
ACUCCUACGGGAGGCAGCAGUGGGGAAUAUUGGACAAUGGGGAAACCCGUAGCAUCCAGCCAUGCCGCGUGUGUGAAGAAGGCCUUCGGGUUGUAAAGCACUUUCAGUGGGGAGGAAAGGUUGAUGGUUAAUACCUAUCAGCUGUGACGUUACCCACAGAAGAAGCACCGGCUAACUCCGUGCCAGCAGCCGCGGUAAUACGGAGGGUGCAAGCGUUAAUCGGAAUUACUGGGCGUAAAGCGUGCGCAGGCGGUCUGUUAAGCGAGAUGUGAAAG